rnacentral:lncRNA from 1 species
AGUUCGGAUAGGUUACAAAUCACAAGAUAAAAGACGAGAAUUAAAUUACAGAGAAACACAAUGAUCGACCAUAACCUACAAUAGGAAAAGAGUUUUCGAAUGCAUUGCAUAAACCAAACCCAACUUGUCUUGAGACUGUUGAAGCUCUCGAAACUCACCAUAAAGACUUUCCGCAUAACAAUAUAUGAGAACGGGCUUCAACAAAAAUGGCGAAAACAAGAGAGUGAAACUUGGCCUUCUCCGCAUAAGAUGCAUCUUUUUCUAUGAGUGUCUUUGUCAAGGGUCUCCCGGAUGAACCGUAAGAUAAUCGAGACCCACUUAGACCUUUCAACGCCACAACGAACAAGUAAUUAAGCCAAACAUUGCUUAAUACUACAAGAGAUAGAUCCUAGACAUAACCAAAGAGCUAUACCCCAAACUAACAAAGUAAUAUAGUCGAGGAAGAGAAGCUUAGCCCAAAAGAGGGAGACGACAGCCCAAACGAGGGAGACAACUAAAACCUGAGCAACUGAUGAAACCAGAUCUAAAUCGGAUACAAUCUGAUCAGAGCAAACAGGAGACACAAGAAGGAAGACAGUAGAGACGAGGAAGAUACCAAGAAAACAAAGAGGCGAUCCACUGAUGCACAGAUUUGCCGAGGAAGGAAGAGAGAGGAGCCGUCGCGAGAAAAAACCAGACCCACCAAUGUCGCCUAGGCUCACCGAAGAGAUCAAUCGGACUGAUCUGAGUCAAGCCAUAGAUCCACUUCGUGAACUGCGAACAAAAACGGCGACCCGAGCACACUAACGACCAACAGAACCGACGGAUCUGAAAACCAAAGAAGAAUCUCAAUAGAUUUGAGCCUCGAAACCCAUGGCUCCACCACGUCAAAAACCACCACGCUUCAACAACCGAAGGAUACAGAGACAAGAAAUAAAAAACUAAGCAAGAAAUUAGAGGAGGUGACCGACGCCGGCGCUAUAUGAUCCGCCACGCGCCGGUCAAAAACUUGACUGAAGCUUUGUUUUAAGGCAGGCGGCGAGAGAGAAAAGCUAGGUUAAAAGAAUUUUUUACUGAAACGAAAAGAAGAGAUUUUUAUUUUUUCGGUUUAACCAUUCAUUGUCUUGUUUCCUUCCUAGUUUGUUUGUUUUUUUUUCAUCUGAAUGAUUCCAUUAUAUUAUACGAAGGUAGAAUGCAGUUUUGAAAUACAAGACCGACAAGAGUCGAAACUCUUUUGGAAACUAAGCCGGCGGAAGACAUAAAUAUCCCCGGAGUCUAAAAGCCCAAAAGAGGGAAGCGAAAGCCCAAAAGAGGGAAGCGAAAGCCCAACAAAGGGAAGUGAUGCCCUAAAACACAUGGACACUAACUAAAACCGAGUGAACAAACCACCGAAGACGAAACAAUGGACAAACUCGUAAACUAAAGCUCAGAAGGAAAUAAAAGGACAUGCCAAACUUACUCCAACACCGAUGUGAGCAAAGCUAGCCACAAAGGACAACAUGCGUCCAUCUUGCAGUUAACGAAACCUCCUAUUGUGAAGCCAAGGUACCUCUCAAAGCAGAUGAACCUAAACUUCUAUUCCGGCAAGACAAACAUGAGACACAUAAACCAAAUCCCACAAAUCUUCCAGAAGCGGCGAUUGUCGAAUACAACGACUAGGAGACGCCUCGUUAGAAGUCAUGAACUGACCAGACCUCGAUCAAGUCUUGAGUGUAGAGACAAGGAGCGAAACAAACCUCAAACCGGAAGAUACUACACUCAGAUGAGAGAAGCACACGAUCGAACCGGAGAGAUCACAUAAAGCUUAUCAAAGGGCUAAAGUAAGAUCAACAAAAUCACGAAACCAAAAGAGCGCCAGCAAGCUAUGACCAAAGCUUCGGGCUAACAGCAAGAGAAGAGAGAGCGAGGCAGCCUAAACUGACCUACACACUUUCUAAAACUGCCUAAACCAAAGAUUUGUACCACCCAAAGUCACAAAAACCAGAGACCAGAAGCAGCAAUCUCAAGGACGAAAGAAAACAAAAGUCAGAUGAUACCGUAGAGGAGGCAAGAACAUCUCGGCCGCAUUAGAAGCUAACACAUCGUGUAUCACCAUCGGACGCCAACGGGCCAUAACCAGAUCUGCAAAUACGCACAACAAAGCAACCGACGAGAUAGGACAAUUCGCGGCGCACCAACGCGAGCCAAAAGGAGACGAUUUUCAGGGAAGAUCUUGCCGAGAUCGGAAGAAGACCCAAACCUAAGCCGUUCCGAAACUUUUGUAACUAGAUCCGCUAGAGGAGGGCUAGGAAUGGCUCCGAAACUAAAGACGCAAGGAAGAACAAACCACGGACGGCCCUCUCACGACUCCGGCGAGAAGCGCCGGUGGCCGGAGAGGUCAAAUCAAAAGGAGAAGCUUGACGGCGGCUAGGGCGAGUUGGUCUUCGCAAUUCUUCUACGAGUCACGACCACCUCCAAGUUAAUUUCCUUCCUAGUUUCUAAUGAGGCUUUUAUUUGUCAAGUGAUAUAUAACAAAUAUGAAAUAUUGAUUUUUUUUUUGUCAAAGGUGAAAUAUUGAAAUUGUAUAAUGUAAACGUCACUAUUUAAGAGGUGGGAGCGUGGUGCUGGUCCAAUGAAUGCUGGUUGGGACGGAGUGAAGGAUUUUGAAAGCCUUACAGGUCCAUCCAUAUCCUCUUAUCCUAAAUAUCUACUUUAAAUUAAUGGUUAAAGUCCAUCAUAUGUUUUAAUGUUUAUAACGUGGAGCUUUUAAUAUAUUACUAUCUUCAAUUGGUAGUAUUUAUCUUGAAUUUAUUGAUUCUAGUUAUAAUAAAUUUUCAAGAUUUCAUCUAAUUAUAUUAAAUUUAGUUGAACAAAAUCUAGAAAUCAAUCAUGAAAAAUAUUCACAUGAGCUAUUAGCGCAAGUGGUCUCCAGUGAGUUGCUACCUAGUAACCAGGGAUUACCAUGCCUUUCCUUGUUGGAGUUAAGGAAAAAGGUCGAUGCAAUAUUAAAAGGAAAAAGGUCGAUGCAAUAUUAAAAGGAUAUGUAUUAUGAGCAUGAUUAUUGGUUGGACUCAUAUUAGAAAUCCAAAUCAUAUAUAUAAUUGUAAAUAAUACAAAAUUUGAAAUUUAGACACUUUGAGUCCAAAUCAACCAAUUGAAAACACAUAAAUGUCUAAAUGACUUCUAAAAAUCUAACUUUAGACAUGAGUCCAAUGUUUUCUUUUUUUAUUUAUUUAAAUUUUAGACAUUUUUGCUUUAGAUCUAGUACUUAUACCUCUUGAUAAUGAUGCUCUAAAGACAUAAAAAAAAAAGACUAUCAGCGUUAAACAUCAAAAGCAUUAUUGUUACAAUAAGAAAUUUAGGAAAUAUCAGAAAAUUUAAUUGUGAUAUAUAUAUAUAUAUUAACUCUCUCCAGGAAAUUGACAUUUCUAGAAUUUUUUUUUAAAUAUAUAAAAUUUUCAGCUGCAAUACAUUUGAAAAUUUCAAGAACGUAGACACAUGCAUGUACGUACGUAUGCACAUGGUCACCGUACACCGAUUUUGUAUACAUACGUACUUCUUACUUUCUCAGUUUCAGCAGCCAAUACACUUUAUUUAUUUAUUAAUGUGCUAUGUAUAGUUUUAUAUACAUAGAGGAACUUGAAAUAAUAGAACAAGUGGUGAAGAUGAAAAAAAGAAAAGAAAAAAAAGAUCAAGUGGUGUGAAUAAAUAGAAUGAAAAAAAGCAAGUGUAUUCAAAGUUUUAACAAAAAAAAAGUGUAUUCAAAGUGGUUAAAACGAAACGAAUGGAACAUAUGAAACAAACGGUGCAGAAUUAACGAAAGAAAAAUUUAAUGGAAACAGAAAGUAAAAACCAUAUAGAAUCGAAAUAUUAUAAGCUUUAAACAAAAUGGAAACCGUAUAUAUAUAACAAGUACCGCAUUUUCAUUAUUUUAUGUCACCACACCUUUAUAAAUUGUACGAAAAGAUAUGAUGUUAUAAUAGAAUAAUACUAACAAAUCUAACAUACGAAUAGCUAACUGGAACCAUGCUUUCGAUAUUAAAAUAUCAAGAAUGCUUGGGCCAUUCGUUGGUCUACCAUGGUAGGAGGUGGCAUGUGCAUAGUGGUUGAAUGGUCAUGAUACGCCAUUAUCAUAUCAUAUUCCAUCGCAAUAUUAUAGUGCCACCGUCGAUCUAAAUAAUUGAAGUGGUCGGUCCACUUAUGCGAUGUUCCACCUGUUCGUGACAUUGAUAAUUCAUUAAGUUAGUCAUAUCCCUUGAGGAGAUCUAAUAAAUACUUCUGUGUUUACUAAUCAAUAUGUCAUGUUAAUAAUGGUGGCGUCGACAAGUUUAGAAUCUAGGCAACUUUGGACAUUUUCAGUCUUCCACCAAUAACAGAAAUCGUUUUUUAAAUCAUUCACUUUAGUUUUGCCCAAAAAACAAAAAAUUUAUUUGGUUUAGUUAACAAAUGAAAAAUCGGAGAUCAAUAUGUAUUCAUUUGGUAGCUACAAAAUUCACACGGCAUCUUCAAAACCAUUUACGACGAAUCCAAACUUAUUAAAAAAAUCGAAAUAAAACAAAACUUAUUCAUAAUGUUCAAAUACUAAAAUAUAUAUAGUUAUAGUUUUUGUCCAAAAAAAGAAAAAGAUAUAGUAGCUUAUAGUAAGUAUUAACAUUUUCACAGAACUUUUUCAAUUUCGAAUAAGAUAUUUAGUAACCACGAAAUAAUAUUGUAAAGUGGGUAAAGUAAAUAAUGUCAUGAGCUUUGUUGUUUAUACACAUAUAUAUUUGAGCACAAACAAUUAUAGAAAAGUUUUCCCCCGACAUUGUUGUGUUUUAAUAAAAGAAUAUCUAGUGGGUGUAUACAAAAUAAUGGGAUGAUAACAGUCAUGAUUAAGACAGCUUGAUUAUGUUUGAUUGAUUAGAGUUGAGCCUAAUUAAAUAUCACAAUGUACGCUAACGAUUUUUUUCUUCUUAUUUUCGUUUCGGGGUUUAUAUAAUAAAAAAGAAAAAUGACAACCAAAGCAAAAUCAUCAUGUUAUAUGUCCGCUUCAUUCAUCUGCCUCAAUUUAUAUAUUUUCGUAGCUUUAUAUAUUAUACAAGACUAUUAAAAUUUAGCCACUACCGUGACAUGCAAAACCGUGGCCAUAAAAUGUCACGUUUAGGCCACACUAUUUUGAAAAUGUUAAAUUUGUGGCCAUCCACAUUUAAGUUUGUGCCUAAAUGGUCACAUUGGUGCGGUGGCCAACUUAUGACCAAGUGGCUUUUAAUUGGCCAUUGAUCAGUUAGGCACAAAUUUAAACGCCUGGACUCUGCAAAUCAAUGUAUCUAUGUCAAAUUAAUGUUUUUUUUUUUUUUUUACAAAUCAAUGUAUCUAUGUCAAAUUAUUGUUUUUAUUUAUUUACUACAAAUCAAUGUAUCUAUGUCAAUGGCCAAGUGGCUUUUAAUUGGCCAACUCAGACUCUCUAAAACAUAUAUAAAUAUAGAAAAAUACCCUAAAAUACCAAGAUUAGAUUAACAGAAAUGAACCAGAUGUGGAGAAUGGUGUGUGAUAAUUUCAAGUUUCUCUUGUGGAUACAUGCACAAACAUCACUAACUACUCUAAUCUCAAUAAAAUCUUGGAGUUUUGUGAAGCAACAUCAAGAAAGUUCUUAAUAGUCUUCAAUUUUCAAUAUGUAUGUGUUCCAAAAAACCGAUCAGCACAAUAUAAUCGCAGACUUUCAUCUUUCUUUCUCCACAAUAGAAUCCAGUUCAGUAACACCACUGAAUCCCAGCUCAGACAUAUCUUGCUUUGCCAUCAAAUUCCUGCAUGAUAAACAGAACCACAUCAUUCAAAUCAAUCCAAAGUCACCCGUUCGUGAUAUUAUUCUGAAUCCGGAAACCAAAAUAUAACUUAAAUCAUUAGAGGAUGCUCAAGAAGGACUGACUUUGCCAUCCGACACUCGAGAUACGUCUUUGAAAGAUGCCUACAUUGCUCAGACUUAUGACCAGAAGACUUGAGACAGUCGAGAUAACCUUUCUUCUCCUACAAAAAACAACACUCACAUGAAAACAUUUCCACGAGUAAGGAUUAGGUUGGAGAUAAGGAAGGAUGUAACAAUACCGUGUCGCAUUGAUGCAAAUGAUCCAAAGGAAAAAUACCCUUUUCUGGUGGUAUUGGUCUCAAUCCUCUGUUUCCUCCAAACGCUCCACCUUUCAACAAGAAUCAACAAACGCCAAUGAUAAUCUGAGUGACUACUAAGUAACACCAAUGUUUUGUUUCCUUGCCAAUACCAAAAUCAAUUUUACAGUCUAACCAUCAAUAAUUAACACUGCUUAACUAAGUUCUAUCUGAGUAUUUGCAAGAGAAUUAGGUUUUAGGAUUGGAGUUGCAUUAUGUGCAAAGAAUUUCUUCAACAUAUCUAAUUUAAAGUACAUUUAAAUGGACAAUGAAGAGGGAUAGUGUAUGCCUUAGGCAUAACAGUUGUGGGAACACUGAAUUUUCGAUUUAGGGUUUUUGGUCCAAGGCAACAGAGGUUUUUACAGAAACGCAUCACAAACACACAAAAAUUCUCAAGAUAUCAAGAAAUUCAAUACAAAAUAAAACCCGAAUAGACCCCUCAUAAUCUUGGAUAGUAGGAGAUUAAUCGAUAGAUAAACAGAAAUGGAAGAGCAAAGUGACGCACCUGUACUCAUCUUGAAGCUUGGGAUUCACCAGCAACUAUGGUUUAGAUUCAUAUGUCUAUGGGGAAUAGCUAAAUCUUACAGAACCGGUCUUUAAAAUUAUGGGCCUGAACUUGGCCCGUACGAAGGUUUACAUUAAUAUAGUGGAUACAUAUAUUAUUAACACUGAAGUAUACUAUAAGAACCAAUGGGUACUGUCGGGUUUCAGGGUGUGAGCUUAUGUGGUGCUAGAACACAAAUGGCAACAAUGAUUAACUCCUUUUUCAAGUUUGCAUAAAUGGAAGAGAACGAAACAAAACUCUCAUAACACUAUCCAUGAACUAUAGAACCGCAAGAGGAUAGUCUACAACUGUCAUUAACAAAAAAAGAAGAAGCAAAAAGGAACAUCUGCCAAAACUAGAAUAUCGAAUCCACAUCCACAAGUCAUCUGCAUCACUGUGCACCAGCUGACAAGAACGCACUUCCGGGCUGACGGUUAGCCAACGGACCAUGGCAAGAUAGGAACUUGGCGUUGACACCAUCAGGGACAAUCCGCUUCUCUUGCCUUAGCUUUGUGUACUCAGCACGGUUAAACUUGGUGAAUCCCCUGAAAAAUUUCCAAACUCAAACAUCAACAAGAAGCCUUUUGCAAAACAUAAAGAGCUUAACAUAAAAAAAGCAAACACAAUCAUACCAUUUCCUGCUAACAAUGAUCUUUUGACGACCAGGGAACUUAAACUUAGCACGACGAAGAGCCUCCUGAGCAUGAUGUCCAUGAGCAUCUUUGCACCUCACAGACAAAAGAACCUGUCCGAUAGCAACUCUAGCACAAGUACCAAGAGCUUUACCAAAAGCUCCUCUCAUACCAGUCUGAAGUCUAUCAGCUCCAGCACAAGAAAGCAUCUUAUUAAUCCUAAGAACAUGGAAAGGAUGAACUCUAAUACGGAGAUGGAAAGCAUCUUUCCCCGCAGAUUUCACCAUGUACUUGUUACAAGCGAUACGAGCAGCUUCAAGAGCUUCACUUGAAACAUUCUCUUUCUCCCAUGAAACCAAAUGAACACAGUAAGGGAACUCAUCAACUCCUUUCCUCUUCAUACCAACAUCGUAAAUCCUGAUCUUAGGAUCGGGAACACCACGACAGUAUCUUGAUUUUGGGUAUGGCUUUCCCUUAAUCUGACGGUAACAUCUCGCAGGUCCUACAAAUUACAUACAUUUUUACAUCUUCAAUAACAAGUUUAAUCAUUUCUGAUACACAAUUCAAACAAAAGCCUAAUCCAAAUGUAACAUUCCGAGCUUAAGCAAAUCUAAUAAUGCGACUGGAGUGAUUAGAAAAAUCCAUUUUUGACACUGACCCUAAUAAACAAAACCUAAUCCACACGUAAAUUCCGAGCUUAAGCAAGUCUAAUUUACGAUUCCGGUGAUUACUCAAACCCAUUUCAUAAAAAAAACCAUUUCCGCUGAGAUCGAUAAACAGAGAAUGAAUCUAUCUAUCCAUAAAAAAUCGAUUACAUUCAGAGAAAUUUAGCAAUAUACUUACUUCGCCCCAUCGCGUUGGUUCGGCUCCUUGAUUGGUGUUUCGAAUCCUAGAAAUGAAGAAGAAGACGGCGUAACUUUUUAAUAUGAACAACAAAUAACCCUAACUAUCUUCGUCACGUAACUGGAUUCGGACAAAAAAAAUAAGGCCCAUUAAGGAACUAAGGCCCAAUAUGAUAUUUUAAGCUUAAAAAAAAACAAAGCCGUGUUUAUUCCGUUUUUGCUGUUUUAACCGGCGGCGUUUUUCUGAUGACAUCAAGCCUCAGUCGCAAUUUUGUGUUCCGACGUAAGAAUCUUGAUGCGUUGUUAUCUCCACAAUGCCAGAAACUUGUAGAAGAUUUAAGAUCUUGCAGAGACAUCUUCGAAGUUUCUCGAAUUCAUGGCUACAUGGUGAAAACGGGGAUUGAUAAGGAUGAUUUCUCAGUGAGCAAGCUUCUUGCUUUUUCCUCUGUACUUGACAUUCGAUACGCUUCGUCGAUCUUCGAGCAUGUCUCCAACACUAAUCUCUAUAUGUUCAACACUAUGAUCAGAGGUUACUCGAUUAGCGAUGAGCCGGAGCGAGCAUUUCGUGUUUUCAACCAAUUGAGAGCUAAAGGUAUCACCUUGGACCGAUUCUCUUUUAUCACGACUCUGAAAUCAUGUUCUCGUGAUUUGUGUAGUUCAAUUGGUGAGGGAUUGCAUGGGAUUGCUUUGAGAUCUGGGUUCAUGGUUUUUACUGAUUUGAGGAAUGCUCUUCUACAAUUUUACUGUGUUUGUGGAAGGAUUAAUGAUGCUCGGAAAGUGUUCGACGAAAUGCCGCAUAGUGUUGAUUCUGUUUCGUUUAGUACUUUGAUGAAUGGGUAUCUUCAGGUUUCUAAGAAAGCGUUGGCUUUGGAUUUGUUUAGGAUUAUGCGAAAUAGUGAAGUGCCCGUUAAUGUCAGUACGUUGCUUAGCUUUCUUUCGGCUACUGGAGAUCUAGGAAACUUGUCUGGAGCAGAAUCUGCUCAUGGUUUAUGCAUCAAGAUUGGUUUUAAUUUAGACUUGCAUUUAAUCACAGCUUUGAUUGGGAUGUACGGCAAAAUUGGGGAUAUCGGUUCAGCACGCAGGAUCUUUGAUUGCGCCAUUCGAAAGGAUGUUGUUACAUGGAACUGUAUGAUUGACCAAUAUGCCAAAAUGGGUAUCCUUGAAGAGUGUGUAUGGCUACUGAGGCAGAUGAAGUAUGAAAGAAUGAAACCGAAUUCAUCUACAUUUGUUGGGCUGUUGUCUUCCUGUGCGAACAGUGAAGCAGCAUUCGUAGGACGUAGUGUUGCUGAUCUAGUGGAAGAGGAAAGAAUAGCUUUGGAUGCAAAACUUGGAACUGCACUCGUUGAUAUGUAUGCAAAACUAGGAAUGCUUGACAAAGCUGUUGAGAUUUUUAAUAGAAUGAAGGAUAAGGAUGUUAAGUCCUGGACCGCAAUGAUCUCGGGCUACGGAGCUCAUGGACUAGCAAGAGAAGCAGUAACACUAUUCAAUAAGAUGGAGGAAGAGAACUGCAAGGUGAGACCCAAUGAGAUUACCUUCUUGGUUGUGCUGAAUGCUUGUAGCCAUGGAGGGUUGAUAAUGGAAGGAAUCAGAUGCUUUAAGAGGAUGGUUGAGGCUUACAGCUUCACGCCCAAAGUUGAACAUUAUGGUUGUGUGGUUGAUCUUUUAGGUCGAGCGGGGCAGUUAGAGGAAGCGUAUGAGUUAAUAAGGAACUUACCUAUCACAAGUGAUUCAACGGCUUGGCGUGCUCUGCUAGCUGCUUGUAGAGUAUACGGGAAUGCAGAUUUAGGGGAAAGUGUGAUGAUGAGAUUGGCUGAAAUGGACGAGAUACAUCCGGCUGAUGCAAUUCUUAUUGCUGGGACACACGCUGUUGCAGGGAAUCCACAAAAAUCAUUAGAUGAUGAGUUGAAUAAAGCGAGAAAAGAGGCUGGAUACAGCGCCAUUGAAAUAGAAUAGAGUAGGCAAUCUCUGGAGUUCAUUCACCUCUUAUCUUUUUGUUGAAAAUUUUAUGAGCAAAUUGUUGUUCAAUAAGGUAAAACCCUGUAUUUAAAACCCUGUAACUUAUGUAUAGAGAAAGGAGACAAUUGAUCUUAAUGAAAUAGUUUUGAUGGAGAGUGAAAAAUCUAUUUGACUGUGAUGUUCAGCGACUCUAAACAUUCUUUCCCCUUUUCACCACCCAAGCACUUCUCUGCUUGUCAUUGUGUUAAUUGUUUCUGCCUGCAAAAGAAUCAUUUAGGUUUUGUUUCCUAGUUACAUGAACAAGCUCACUAAGGGUAAACUGAUUCAUUAAUGACAUGAUGGUUGUCGCUGGCUUUGGGCAUUAUGGAUCAUAACCUGAGACAGUCAUUAUGUGGCUACUCAAUUGUUGUCAUGAUGAUUUUAAACAAGAAAGAAAGAAUAAAUUUGAAACUCUAUUGGUGAACUCAUAACCCAAUAGUUUAAGUAAAUGAAAUCAUGAAAUGAUAGCUUAGUAGCAGCAAUAUCAAUUCAUAAUACUCCUGUAAAACUCCAAUCCAUUUGAGUGGAGGAGGUUAGAAGUUGGGAUGAUGUUGAAUUCCUAGGCAUAGAUUGUAACUCCUUUUGUGUCUCUUCAAGAUUGCAGGUUGCUAAGAGAAAGAUCCCCACUGUCUUUAAACACUUUGAGUUAGCGAGAAUGUAUGUCAUUAGUUGUUUCUCAUCUUCUCUUCCUCGAUACCCUCUCCACCCAAAGAUCUCUAAAUGAGAUGACAAGCAUUCGGGAGUAGAAGAACUCGGCUGGUUCCACGAAGGUGGGAGACACCCGUAAUCCUGGUAUCAAUACAUUUGCUUUAAUGUUAAGUACAUCAAAACUAGAUGCGCUUGUGUUUAAGGGAGGAUGGUAUACUUACAGUGUCAAUCGUAAGAGUUUUUAGUUUAGGAGAAAUUUGAAGAAAUAUCAUAAGUGGUUCCAACCAAUCUACAUAACAACUUGGAAAAAAGCAAAACUCUAUAAGCCGAGAGAACUUGAUGGCGUUACAGCUAGCAACCUGUGAUAGAACAAAUAACAUUAGUUGGCUAAGCAACAAGGAACAAAGAAGAGAACCGGAGAUAUGUAAUCGCUACCAUUGAUUUAGUCAAACACAAGUACAGAUGUAUGACAGAAGAAAGAGAUCUCAGCAACUUGUCAUCGAGGUUAUGAACAUUGCCGAUGCGUGCCACAUUAAGGCAAGACAUAUUCUCUAUCUUGCUUUGCCAUCAAAUUCGUUGGAAGUGGUACGACUUUGAAACUUUCCUGGGAAUAAAACCGUGAAUAGUCUUUAUUUUUCUACAAUGAAAUAAACUAACUAAUAAUGAUAAGUUGUUCCUAACAAAUGGGCAAUGUGGUGUGAGAACAAUGAGAACCCUUUACCACAAAAUUCGUAAAUGAAAGAGAACCCUAAAUAUCUUUGUCACGUAACUGGAUUCGGACAAAAAAGAAAAGGCCCAUAAAGGAAUUCAGGCCCAUGGAAUCAUGAAAAUGAAAGAAAAAAAAAAACAUGUUUAUGGCGGAAAACCGAAAAUAAUGUUUUUGGUGGUAAAACGUGAAAUUAUUUUUUUUUGGCUGAAAACCGGAUUUACAUUGUUUGGCAGAAUCAUGUUUUGGUGGGAAACACAAAACAUGAAAAACGAGAAAUUAAGUUUUAAGCGGAAGAACACUGAAUCUCGGAGUGCCAUUUGGACCCUUUAUGGAGGAGGAAAAAAUAACUUUGGAUGCAAUACUUAAAUAAAACAGAUUUGAUAGAUAGUGAACAAUCUACCAUCUAAACAUAGUUGUACUGGAAAAAAAAAACCUUUACGAUAAUAAUGUCAGAUAGUCAUAUUGCGGCAAAACUAAAAACACUCUCAAUCUAAAAGCACAAAAAGGUAGAAAACACAGAUUUUUUUAAUAGGUAGUUUUGACUACCAUUUUUUUUUCUUAUUUAUAAAAGCAUCAUUAAGAAACAACAAUACAGAAACAUCUUGACACAACAAUACAGAAACAUCUUGACAACAAUACGUAGAAAAGAAAGUACUCUCAGCCAAUCGAGAUGAUUGAGCAAAUACACAAGAAGAACAUAUACUUUUCUAAAACGAGUUCAUCAUCUUGACACAGGGACCCUCGUUUUAGACAAGAUACUUGUUUUAAACGAGUUCAUCAUCUAGCCGCCUUCUUCUUUUUCUUGUCUAGGAUCUUCUUUCUCUCGGCCUUCUCCUUAAGAUGAGCCACGACCGUAGGUGGAAGCACCGGCUUCGAGUGCUUAGAAGCACGAGGCUGCAAAUAAACAUAACAUUCAAUGACCCAAAUAUGAUGAACCUUAUUUUCAGAUCAAAUCUAAAUCCAAGUUUAAAAACUCAAUGACCAGUAUCU